rnacentral:rRNA from 1 species
CAGUAGCCACGGUAAUACGGAGGAUCCAAGCGUUAUCCGGAAUCAUUGGGUUUAAAGGGUCCGUAGGCGGUCUUGUAAGUCAGUGGUGAAAGCCCAUCGCUCAACGGUGGAACGGCCAUUGAUACUGCAGGACUUGAAUUAUUGGGAAGUAACUAGAAUAUGUAGUGUAGCGGUGAAAUGCUUAGAGAUUACAUGGAAUACCAAUUGCGAAGGCAGGUUACUACCAAUUGAUUGACGCUGAUGGACGAAAGCGUGGGUAGCGAACAGGAUUAGAUACCCGAGUAGUCCAUGUCUCUUAUAU